UGCUCUCUCAACAGAAGAGAACAGCAACAAAAACAAGACUUCUUCUCUCAACCUGAAAGAAACUGAACUGAGGCUUGGUUUGCCUGGGUCUCAGUCCCCGGAGAGAAAACCGUUGCCUGGAGUGUCUCUUUUUGGUAAAGAUAUUGACACCAACACUAAUGGGUAUUCUCUUAGCCCAUCAAAGAAUUUAGUUUCAGGUGCUAAGAGAGGUUUCUCAGAUGCCAUUGAUGGGUCUUCUGGGAAAUGGGUUUUCUCUGUGAAUAAUGGAUCUGAUGCUGGUUUGAAUAAGGGGGCUGUGUUAUUUUCUCCCAGAGGUGAUAAUGGUAAUACACAGAAAUCUUCUGUAUGCGGACCAGCUAAGAAAGAGGUUGUCGGUGUUAUAACUCAAUCUCCAAAGCCAGUUCAAGAGAAGAACAGUCAAGUAUCUGGUGCGAAUGAGAACCAUAAUGCUCCUGCUUCAAAGUAAGCUCACUUAACCUACUAUAUAGAGUUGGUUGCUUUGUUUGGGCCGUUAAGGUUUGUUACUCUGUCUGUUGCCUUGACUAAUCUUUAAUUACAGUGAAAAUUGUGGAAAAGGGAAGACAAGCAAACUAUUAAGUUCCAAGAAAAAUGAAACAGUGAACAAAUCAAACCAUCUGCUCUGGUUUGGAAGAUAAAUGGAAUAACUAACCUCUGGUUUAGCCACGAGUGUUACACUUAGCGCAGGAGGGUGUUCUUAAAGGGGAUUUGGGACCCGGAACAUAGAAAUUGGAAAAGAACCUUCAGUUUUCAAUUUCUCUUCCUUUUCUAAUCAUGUUUCAUUUAUUUUCUUUAUAAUUUUUGCUUUUUCUUUCUUGUAUUUGGUUUAAUUAAUCUCUAGUCGGUCUCUUUGCCCUGCUCCUUAUGAUUGUUUGCUGCUGCACAUUUAACUUUCUGUUUAGUUGUCACUUCUUUUUGUGAUUCUUGCCAUGGUAGCAUCUAAAUUUUUAUGUUUUUCACUUCUGUAAUCUCCAGACUAUGUCAAGUGAUUUGCUUUGAAGAAUCUACAGAAUUCCUAUAUAGUCACUUGAAAAUUAAUAAUACAUGCUUUUCUAGAUUUAUGAAGCUUUUCGUGUGCAAUUUAUGACUUACUUCUUCUAGUUUGUUAUUUUUCUUCUCUUUAGUACCUUUCAUCCUUAGCUGUUUUCCUUCCUUAGACCAGUCAAUUCCAUUUCAAUAUUAUAGUAAAUUUGGUGAGUUCUGAUCCAAAAGUUUCUGCAACAGGGCACAAGUGGUAGGAUGGCCACCCAUUCGUUCGUUCAGGAAGAACACCAUGGCCUCUAAUUUGACAAAGAACAAUGAAGAAGCUGAAGGAAAAUCUGGAUUUGGUUGCCUUUAUGUAAAGGUUAGCAUGGAUGGUGCACCAUACCUCAGGAAGGUCGACCUCAAAACCUACACCAACUAUGUGGAACUUUCAUCUGCACUUGAGAAGAUGUUCAGUGGCUUUACCAUUGGACAAUGCGGUUCCCAUGGAUUUCCAGGGCGAGAUGGCCUGAGCGAGACUUGUUUAAAGGAUCUGCUCCAUGGCUCUGAA
rnacentral:misc_RNA from 1 species